AUGAGAAGGAGAAGAAGGAGACGGAAAAGAAGAAGGAAAAGGAGAAGAAGGAGAAGAAAAAGAAGGAGAAGGAGAAGACGGAGAAGGAGAAGACGGAAAAGAAGGAGAAGAAGGAGGAGGAGAAGGAGAAGAAGACGGAAAAGAAGGAAAAGGAGAAGAAGGAGAAGGAGGAGGAGAAGAAGGAGAAGAAGAAGAUGGAAAAGAAGGAGGAGACGGAAAAGAAGGAGGAGAAGGAGAAGAAGGAGACGGAAAAGAAGGAGGAGAAGGAGACGGAAAAGGAGAAGGAAAAGGAGAAGGAGAAGACGGAAAGAAGGAGAAGAAGGAGAAGAAGGAGGAGAAGGAAAAGGAGACGGAGAAGAAGGAAAAGGAGAAGAAGAAGGAAAAGGAGAAGGAGACGGAAAGAAGGAGAAGAAGGAGAAGAAGAAGGAGAAGAAGAAUGAGAAGGAGAAGAAGGAAAAGGAGAAGAAGGAGACGGAAAAGAAGAAAAAGAAGGAGAAGAAGAAGGAAAAGGAGAAGAAGGAGAAGACGGAGAAGGAGAAGACUGAGAAGGAGAAGACGGAAAAGAAGAAGGAGAAGAAGACGGAAAAGAAGGAAAAGGAGAAGAAGGAGAAGGAGGAGGAGAAGAAGGAGAAGAAGAAGAUGGAAAAGAAGGAGGAGAUGGAAAAGAAGGAGAAGAAGGAGACGGAAAAGAAGGAGAAGAAGGAGACGGAAAAGGAGAAGGAAAAGGAGAAGAAGGAGAAGGAGAAGAAAGAAAAAGGAGAAGGAGAAGAAGAAGACGGAAAAGAAGGAGAAGGAAAAGGAGAAGGAAAAGGAGAGAAGGAAAAGGAGAAGAAGGAGAAGAAGAAGAAGGAAAAGGAGGAGACGGAAAAGAAGGAGGAGAAGGAGAAGAAGACGGAAAAGGAGAAGAAGGAAAAGGAGAAGAAGGAAAAGGAGAAGAAGGAGAAGAAGGAAAAGAAGGAGGAGAAGAAGGAGAAGGAGAAGAAAAAGAAGGAGAAGAAGAAGACGGAAAAGGAGAAGAAGAAGAAGACGGAAAAGAAGGAAAAGGAGGAAAAGGAGAAGAAGCAGGAAAAGAAGGAGAAGAAGCAGGAAAAGGAGAAGGAAAAGAAGUACGAAAAGAAGAAGACGGAAAAGAAGGAGAAGGAGAAGAAGAAGACGGAAAAGAAGGAGAAGAAGGAGAAGAAAAAGAAGACGGAAAAGAAGGAAAAGGAGAAGAAGCAGGAAAAGAAGGAGGAAAGAAGAAGGAGAAGAAGGAGGAAAAGAAGGAGAAGAAGAAGACGGAAAAGAAGGAGAAGGAGAAGAAGAAGACGGAAAAGAAGGAGAAGAAAAAGAAGACGGAAAAGAAGGAAAAGGAGAAGAAGCAGGAAAAGAAGGAAAAGAAGAAGGAGGAAAGAAGAAGGAGAAGAAGGAGGAAAAGAAGGAGAGAAGACGGAAAAGAAGGAGAAGGAGAAGAAGAAGACGGAAAAGAAGAAGAAGGAGAAGAAGAAGGAGAAGGAGAAGAAGAAGACGGAAAAGAAGGAGAAGGAGAAGGAGAAGAAGCAGGAAAAGAAGAAGGAAAAGGAGGAGGAGGAGAAGAAGAAGGAGGAGAAGGAGAAGAAGAAGACGGAAAAGAAGGAGAAGAAGGAAAAGGAGAAGGAAAAGAAGGAGAAGAAGGAGAAGAAGGAGAAGAAGAAAUCUAUCAAUGGAAAAAAUGUUUUAAUAUAA
rnacentral:lncRNA from 1 species